CAUUUUGAAAAUUGUGGUCUUAGAUCAUGAAUUGUAUUUUCAAAAUGCAUUGCUAACACAACUGCACAUGUUUGUUUAUUGGAAAGAACAUCACAAAGGGUGACAAUCCCAUGUGUCAUGUGUAUGUUUUGUGUACAGCGUGCAUUAUAUGAAUCACAUUCAUUGACAAUUGAAUGCAAAUAGAAUGGUAAAUUUCAUUUAAUCAUAAAUAUGUUGUUGACAACUUAUAGCAAACAAAUACCAUGAGGGAAAUGUGAAAAGGAUUUUGAAAAGAAAAUUAAAAGAGCUUGCAAUUGCUGAACUGAUAAGCAAACAAAACAUACGUGUGUAUGCAAGAUUGUUGUAAUGCUUAGCAUCCUAUGCAAGGCUAUUGCAAUGAUUUUUUGUAUAGUGAUGCUACCUUUUUUUAGAAUUUGGAAUGUCUUUUUUUGAGUGUGAAUGGAAUUUUGUUUGUUAGCAAAGGAAUGCACUUUUAGAUUCAUUGUUUGAUUUGAUUUAAAAAUGUUUGUGACAUGUGUCUUUGUUUUAGUUUCAUGCUUCAACCAAGGACAUUGUGUUUGAUCCAUAUCAGCAAUACAUGUUUUGUUUGACCCGUCUUGAAACACGGACCAAGGAGUUUAAUUUAUGUGCAAGAUCAUGAAACUGACAUUUGUAUAUCAAUGAAAAUAUUUUGUUGGGAUUUGUGCACCAACAACUGAUAAGUUGUGUGACGCGACGUUGAGUUUGAGCAUGUUGAUUAAAACCCGAAAGAUGGUGAACUAU
rnacentral:rRNA from 1 species